AUGCACGCUGGCGGCGUGCCUCAUCCAUGCAAGUCGAGCGAACGGACGAGAAGCUUGCUUCUCUGAUGUUAGCGGCGGACGGGUGAGUAACACGUGGAUAACCUACCUAUAAGACUGGGAUAACUUCGGGAAACCGGAGCUAAUACCGGAUAAUAUUUUGAACCGCAUGGUUCAAAAGUAAAAGACGGUCUUGCUGUCACUUAUAGAUGGAUCCGCGCUGCAUUAGCUAGUUGGUAAGGUAACGGCUUACCAAGGCAACGAUGCAUAGCCGACCUGAGAGGGUGAUCGGCCACACUGGAACUGAGACACGGUCCAGACUCCUACGGGAGGCAGCAGUAGGGAAUCUUCCGCAAUGGGCGAAAGCCUGACGGAGCAACGCCGCGUGAGUGAUGAAGGUCUUCGGAUCGUAAAACUCUGUUAUUAGGGAAGAACAUAUGUGUAAGUAACUGUGCACAUCUUGACGGUACCUAAUCAGAAAGCCACGGCUAACUACGUG
rnacentral:rRNA from 1 species